GACGAACGCUGGCGGCGUGCCUAAUACAUGCAAGUAGAACGCUGAAGCGAGGAGCUUGCUCUUCUUGGAUGAGUUGCGAACGGGUGAGUAACGCGUAGGUAACCUGCCUUGUAGCGGGGGAUAACUAUUGGAAACGAUAGCUAAUACCGCAUAACAAUGGAUGACACAUGUCAUUUAUUUGAAGGGGGCAAUUGCUCCACUACAAGAUGGACCUGCGUUGUAUUAGCUAGUAGGUGAGGUAAUGGCUCACCUAGGCGACGAUACAUAGCCGACCUGAGAGGGUGAUCGGCCACACUGGGACUGAGACACGGCCCAGACUCCUACGGGAGGCAGCAGUAGGGAAUCUUCGGCAAUGGGGGCAACCCUGACCGAGCAACGCCGCGUGAGUGAAGAAGGUUUUCGGAUCGUAAAGCUCUGUUGUAAGUCAAGAACGGGUGUGAGAGUGGAAAGUUCACACUGUGACGGUAGCUUACCAGAAAGGGACGGCGAACUACGU
rnacentral:rRNA from 1 species